GGUAGCUGGCUACCUAACCUAGCGGCGGACGGGUGAGUAAGGCUUAGGAAUCUGCCUAUUAGUGGGGGACAACUUUCCGAAGGGAAUGCUAAUACCGCAUACCCCCUACGGGGGAAAGCAGGGGAUCUUCGGACCUUGCGCUAAAUGAUGAGCCUAAGUCGGAUUAGCUAGUUGGGGGGGUAAAGGCCUACCAAGGCGACAAUCUGUAGCGGGUCUGAAAGGAUGAUCCGCCACACUGGGACUGAAACACGGCCCAAACUCCUACGGGAGGCAGCAGUGGGGAAUAUUGGACAAUGGGCGGAAGCCUGAUCCAGCCAUGCCGCGUGUGUGAAGAAGGCCUUUUGGUUGUAAAGCACUUUAAGCGAGGAGGAGGCUACCUGGAUUAAUACUCUGGGAUAGUGAACGUUACUCGCAAAAUAAGCACCGGCUAACUCUGUG
rnacentral:rRNA from 1 species